rnacentral:rRNA from 1 species
UCUAUGCACAAGCCGAUUAAUGGUGAAGCCGCGAAUGGCUCAUUACAACAGCCACUGUUUACUUGAUCUUGAUUAUCCUACUUGGAUAACUGUGGUAAUUCUAGAGCUAAUACACGCAAACAAGCUCCGACCUUACGGGACGAGCGCAUUUAUUAGACCAAAACCAAUCGGGCUUCGGCCUGAUCCGUUGGUGACUCUGAAUAACUGAGCUGAUCGCAUGGUCUUUGUACCGGCGACGCAUCUUUCAAGUGUCUGCCUUAUCAACUUUCGAUGGUAGUUUAUGUGCCUACCAUGGUUGUUACGGGUAACGGAGAAUAAGGGUUCGACUCCGGAGAGGGAGCCUGAGAAACGGCUACCACA